rnacentral:rRNA from 1 species
CCUUGUCCGAACCAGGUCAGUGCGUUCGAGAAAGUUGUGUGGACAUUUGCUGAGAACCCAACUGAGAAUGUUAUCACACCAGUUAUCGGCACAACAUUCGACUCGGUGGGCGAGGCGUAUGACUUCUACAAUUUGUACUCGUGGGAGAAGGGCUUUGGCAUUCGUUACGGCAAGAGCAGGCUAAAUGUGGAGAGGACAAAAUGCAUGCAAGAAAUAGUUUGUGGUUGCUCGGUGAGUUUUUUAUUAUUAUUUAUGUUUAUGCUGGGACAUACAAUUCGUAUUUUGUGUCUGCGUGUGUGGUAG